GGGGAACUAGCUCAUAUGGUAGAGCGAUCGCUUUGCAUGCGAUAGGCGCGGGGAUCGAUACCCCGGUUCUCCA
rnacentral:tRNA from 1 species